GGGAUUAAUGACCUCUUGUCAUUUGAUUUUAUGGACCCACCAUCGCCUCAAGCACUCAUAUCUGCCAUGGAACAACUAUACAGUCUUGGAGCAUUGGAUGAGGAGGGGCUUCUAACCAAAUUGGGUAGAAAAAUGGCUGAAUUUCCACUGGAUCCACCAUUAUCAAAGAUGCUUCUGGCCAGUGUUGACCUAGGGUGCAGCGAUGAGAUUUUGACAAUCAUAGCAAUGAUUCAGACUGGGAAUAUCUUCUACAGACCAAGGGAGAAGCAAGCUCAAGCGGAUCAGAAAAGAGCCAAGUUCUUUCAGCCAGAAGGUGACCACUUAACAUUACUUGCUGUAUAUGAGGCUUGGAAGGCUAAAAAUUUUUCUGGGCCAUGGUGCUUUGAGAACUUCGUGCAGUCGCCUUCCCUUCGGAGGGCACAAGAUGUCAGAAAGCAGCUUCUUACUAUUAUGGACAGGUAUAGUUUCUGCACUUUGACCUUUUGAUUUAUCUAUUAUUUUGCUUUUUGACUUGUACUGGUCAAUUGUUAAUGGUCCAGAUAGUAGUGAUGUCGGUUGUCAUUCCUUGUUGCAUGCACUAUAUAGAUUAUCUGCAUAUUUUCAUGUGCACAUGCAUCUUUGUGUUAUUGUAUUAUCUAAGUGGUAUAUUGCAUAUGCUGCAACUGUUUUAUGUUUCAUAUUCACUCGUGCUGUAUGUUAAGUUAUUAUAUGUAUAUUUUCUGCCUCUACUUUUGUGUUUUGUAUUGUGCAUGGUAUCGAUUAUUUUUGUUGCAUUUUUAGUGUGUGUUUUAGAGUAUCAUUAAAAAAUAAUAGAGUGCAUUUAAGUGCUUCCUUGUUUCUUAUAUGUUUCAGUUAUGUUUCCAUGGUCUUCACUUGAUUCCAAGUCGCCUUAUGCAUCGAUUACCACUAACGAAUGUCCCUAGUUCUUGAAAAGCUAUAAUAAUUAGUGGUCAUUGGUUUUACAUUUUUGUCUCUGUUAAUUUCACAUAUUAUCCUAAAACAUAUCCAGUAUGGGAACUUGAGACUUAUUUAGACUGUGGUCAUGCCAUUAUCACUUGUAACUCUUAAAAGAAUUUGAUAACCUAUCACUGUCAAACCCUUAGCAGCCAGAAUCUUCUACAGAGGCUUCAUCUUUCUCGAGUCUUUUUUGAACCUACUCAUGUAGUUGCUCCCUUGGCACAUGCUUUGUUGAACGCUUUGCUUAUGUGCUUUGCACUAGUCCACUAAUUCAGGUACCUAACCACGACCUUGAUGGAACUGUAUUUAAACUUUAUUUAGAUUUCUAGAUGAUUAAUGACAAUAGAGCCACUUUCAUCAAGUUGUGAUGGAUGGAGAAGAUAUCUGGCUGUAUUUAGGAAGUUCGUGAUUUGCAUAAUUGGGGUACUGAAUCUUGCCAACUAGCAUGUAAAGAGGUUUAGGAGGCCAGUAGAGAUGGGAGAGAUUAAAUUGAGUCCAUUCAGUAGAAAGUAGGAGAGCUGGUGCUCAGAGGGGCCUCGGAGGG
rnacentral:lncRNA from 1 species